rnacentral:lncRNA from 1 species
UUAUUACGCAGCCAAAUUGUUUGUUUGUACGGGUAAUGAAAGCAAAAUACUUUCCAAAAGGGGAUUUCAUGAGUGCAGGUUUAGGGUUUUACCCUUCAUAUACCUGGAGAAGUAUUUGGGGAGCUAGAUGCCUUCUCGAGGAGGGGCUUGGUUGGAGAAUCAAAAAUGGUGAUGCAGUGAACAUAUGGAAUGAUGCAUGGCUGUCUAGACCUGGAAAUGGAAGAAUACAAGAUCAGUAUAUAGACAUACAAUAUACUAAAGUCUCAGACUUAAUCGAUAAAGAAACCAAUACCUAGAAGUAACACACAAUCCGAGAGUUACUUAGAGAAGAGCUGCUUCAAAACAUUAUGUUGAUUCAACUGGCGCGUAAUAAACCAAACGAUGUCUUAGUUUGGAGAGGCAACAAUACAGGGGUGUACACAGUGAAAAGUGGUUACAAAUGGCAGAUUACAGCCCAGGGGUCUAGUUUACAGACUGAGUAUCCAGCUUCGUUCUAUACAAAACUAUGGGGUCUCAAAGUGCCAAAUAAAAUACGAAUAAACAUGUGGAAAAUAGCUAAUAACUACAUCCCUACUUUAUAUAAUCUAAAACUUCGAAAGUUGGCAGCAAAACUUUAUGUCCGGUUUGUCAAGCAGAGGAGGAAACUGUUAGCCACCUAUUCAAAGAUUGUCUCUUUUCACAGCAGGUCUUGAAAGGGUUGGGGGGGACAGUAUCAUCACACAAUAGUGAACCAAAUUGGAAAAAGUGGUUAGAUAUGGAGUUCAAUAGUCUGAACAAUGAAGAAUGUAAAAUUAGAGUUAUUGCCUAUUGGGCUAUUUGGUAUAAUCGGAAUAAAAUUUACCAUGAAGGGGCCCGCGAACAAGUCAAUGAAGUAGUGAGCUUUGUCAAAGCUUAUUGCACAGAAAUUGCAGCCAUGGAGGUUACGAUGCGGGAUGUACAAGUAGCCGGCAGUUACGACUGGAGUCCACCAGAGAAUGACACAAUAAAAAUUAACUUCGACGCUACAUUCAACCAACAUACGAGAAGAUCUAGUUUAGGAGUCAUAGCGCAAAAUAGAGAUGGUCUGGUGAUGGCAGCAUGUACCUUUCCAUGGGUGUAUAUCUCAAAUCCGGUCAUGGCCGAGGCAAGGGCGUGCUUGCAAGCCGUUUCUAUGGCAGAGGAAAUGGGCUUCCUAGAUAUUUGCAUCGAAGGAGAUUCGUUAACAGUUAUACACAAGUUAAACACUGCAGAAGAAGAUAAAUCUGAAAUAAGUAGUUUGGUUAAAGAAAUUAAGGGAAGAGCCCUCAUCUUCAGAAGUGUGAGCUUUAGGUACAUACAAAGGGAAGCUAAUAAGGCAGCUCAUGGGAUGGCGAUGGAAAGACGUCAACAUGAAAACCCCCAAUACUGGAUAAAGGAGGUCUCGUAGGAGGUGGAAGAACUGGUGAAUAGCGAAAGGAGAGGCAACGGAGAAGAAGAAUAGGUGAAGAAUUAGAGUUCGGACUUUGCAAUAAUCUGUUUGUCUGAUAAACUCGUACUUGGGCAGAAAUGAUGAUGGUAUUAGGUUUGAUUUUGGGUGCUUUCGGUCCUGUUUAGUAGCUGAUACAAGAUAGAUCUGGUGUUCAAUGAAAAAGAAGAAGGGUAACAAGAUCUGGCUUUGUUUAAUUUCUUUUGUGAUUGAAAGGACUGCUUCUUUUAAUUUCUUUUGUUUAAUUAUCUGGUUUUGUUUGGUGCACCGUUUCGGUGCCUUUUAGGAGGUAAACAGCUGUAGGUCGUUUCUU